AGCUUUAUAGUCUAAAAUGAUUUAAAAUUGCAAAUUUUAAGGGGUAAAGAAAAUUACUAAGGCUU
rnacentral:tRNA from 1 species